UGUGCUAUUUCUGGCGUGCGUGUCAUGGCUGCCAGAGGGCGCCUUAAUACAGACACACAUGAAAAAGAGUUUCACAACUGACUCAGUUGUAGUAAUAUUAGUCAUUUCACGCAGAGGAUAGGGACUAUACUGUAUACCUAUCAGUGUCUCGCCUGCCAUCUCCUGGUGGAUUUACAACUUCCUGAUGGGCCGGACACAGCAGGUUAUUCUGUGGUGAACUACCUCAUCCAUGCGCACUAUCAGCACCGGAGCACCCCAAGUUCGCAGAUGAGACCAUGGUCAUCGGCCUCAUCAAAGACGAUGUGCAUUUCGACUGGAAGUGGCGAGACUGGAGCUUUCGUGUGGUCAACAAAACCUGGCAUUGAACAAUCUAAAGAGAUCAGAGAUGAUCGUAGACUUGUAGUCAUCGGUGCUCGGCAGAGACUUUCAUUCAAAGCUUGCUUGAGGUAUGUUCAUGUAUUUAAAUACGAUACGGCUCACAAGCAGGUAACAAAAAGUGAUGGAGUCUAGCAUCCCGUGCUAGCGCUCGUGCUGGUGGUUGUAUGUAAACAUGCUGGCGUUCUGUCAUGUUCAAAAAUUACGAUGGGGGAGAAAUUUAAUUACAAUAAGUUAGUACCCAUUAUUUCUGUCUUGUUGUUUUGUUGAUUUCCCCUUAAUGAUUAGAGUACAUCACAGACUCCAAGUUGUCUGUAGGUCUGAUUGUGAGUGCGAAUGGUUGUCUGUCUCUGUGUGACCUGCGUUUGGCUGGAAACCAUUCCAGGGUGUACUCUGCCUCCUGCGUGAAGAUACCUGGGAUAGGCUCCAGUGCCCUGGCGACCCUUGUGAAGAUAAGCGGCUAAGAUAAUGCAUGGAUGGAUCUGACCAAAGCAGUGAUUUCCAAACUUUAUGGAGCCAAGGCACGUAUUUUACAAUUCAAAAUCUCACAAGGGCAACAGCAAACAAAAAUGUGAAGAAAAAUAGAUACAUUUAAUGCUUUUUGUACUUACUGCCAUCUUUUCGAAGACCAUAUUACUUUGUUUUGUCUGUCAUUAUGCCUCAUUGGCAUGAAUAGAUGAACAAAGAUACGUUAUUUGAGCAAUUACAGAAAGUACACUAGUAUAUACAGCAAAUGAAAAGGUCAUUUAAAGGUCAAGUGUCGUCAAAUGGAUGAUUUUUGGUAUAAUAUUAAUA